rnacentral:rRNA from 1 species
AACGAACGCUGGCGGCAUGCCUAACACAUGCAAGUCGAACGAGACCUUCCGGUCUAGUGGCGCACGGGUGCGUAACGCGUGGGAACCUGCCCUUUGGUUCGGAAUAAAUCCCCGAAAGGGGUGCUAAUACCGGAUAAUGUCUUCGGACCAAAGAUUUAUCGCCUUUGGAUGGGCCCGCGUUGGAUUAGCUAGUUGGUAGGGUAAAAGCCUACCAAGGCGACGAUCCAUAGCUGGUCUGAGAGGAUGAUCAGCCACACUGGGACUGAGACACGGCCCAGACUCCUACGGGAGGCAGCAGUGGGGAAUAUUGGACAAUGGGCGAAAGCCUGAUCCAGCAAUGCCGCGUGAGUGAUGAAGGCCUUAGGGUUGUAAAGCUCUUUUACCCGGGAUGAUAAUGACAGUACCGGGAGAAUAAGCUCCGGCUAACUCCGUG